UUAUUGUGUGUGUCGACCCUGUGUGUACAGCAGCAGGUGCUGGAGCGCGGGUAAAACACUUCUGGGUUUUGGAAGCCUUACAGAACAUUUUUACCUGCCGUGGAAUUUUCGUGUGUGUCAGAAUAAAUAACCAUAUAGGGCAGCCUUGCACAGGGCCUUGCAAGGAAUGGAGUUUUUCCCGACGUAUAAACGCCCUGUACUUUGAUAGCAUGGCCCUGUUGGUACGUUGGUGAUCAUGCGUUGAUCCAUCGCACACUUAGGCAACGGAAUAUGACGAUGGUUCCAUCAUCCUGCACACACUUGGAUAGGAGUUAGGUCACAAAAUGAUCACAAUGAAGGAGCCAGACAGGAUGAUGAUAUGAGUGUUGACUCUAUUGCUCAACCAGUGCCACUCAAGACAUCCCCUACUGAAGGGGAUGAUGCUCAGAUGACUUCCAUCCCGGUGCCACAUGACAUGGGCCCUGGUCGCUUGAGCCUUAUCCUGCCCAAGCUCAUCUACGCCAUCGACUAACUUCCGGGGCGUCCACUGGAGGUUUAAAUGUUAUUCCUGUCACGGAAUGCUGACCUGCCAAUAGGCAUAGCCUUGCAACAUAGGAAAUCAAGGCAGUGUUCAUAAGGGGCGUCGUAAUUGUCCGAUCCGGCAGGAAGCGGUGCUUUGGUGUGGAUUUCCUCCGAACGGAUUUCAAGACAAUGUGUCGAAGACAUUACCACUAGUAGUACCACUGAACGGUUACGUGUCUGGUUUUGUUCGGCAGGAGACCGUAUUGCGGAGGUUUUGCCGCAGAUGUGCAACAACGAACGUUGCAAGUGGUGGAAGCGCACUGGCACGUGCUAGCAUGCGUCCCAUCGCGUAAAUCUUGCUUGCGGCUUCGCGUGCACUGGUCUGCUGGUCCGCCGCAUGCAGGGGGCGUGCUCUGAUUUCGCUCUGUUGUCGUGGCGACAGUGUCCGUAAUGAAGACAUGGCUGCACAGGAUCUGCGUUGGAUACAUAACACUGCUGAUGCAGUCCGGGCUUGUCUCCUUACAGGUUAUUGAUCAAUAACGAUGAGAAGUAUGUGGGUUCUGAAUAGUGUUAGCACGCACUCGCGCGGGUGUUUAUUUGACGCCUGCCUUGUCCUUACUGGUUAAUGCGGGUAAUGAUGUAAGGUUCCGCCUACAUGCACACUUGACGCUGCGUUCUACUUCCGAACGGAACCUGUUCCCAGCUGUAACGCUAUUGAGCAUGAAUAAACGAUGACCUCGGG